rnacentral:rRNA from 1 species
GAUGAACGCUGGCGGCGUGCUUAAUACAUGCAAGUCGAGCGAACAGACGAGGAGCUUGCUCCUCUGACGUUAGCGGCGGACGGGUGAGUAACACGUGGAUAACCCACCUAUAAGACUGGGAUAACUUCGGGAAACCGGAGCUAAUACCGGAUAAUAUAUUGAACCGCAUGGUUCAAUAGUGAAAGACGGUUUUGCUGUCACUUAUAGAUGGAUCCGCGCCGCAUUAGCUAGUUGGUAAGGUAACGGCUUACCGAGGCAACGAUGCGUAGCCGAACUGAGAGGGGGAUCCGCCACCCUUGAACUGAUGCACGGGCCAGGAAUCUUAGGGAAGGCACAGGUGGGAAAGAUGCGGCAUAGGGGAAAGCAUGACGGAACAAAGACGAGGGGGAUGCGGAAGCGCUCCGAACCUUAAAACGUUUUAUUUGGGAAAAACCAAUAUAGAAGGAACAAUGGCAAGUUUGACGGUAACUAAGGAGGAAGGCACGGCUAACUACGUG